rnacentral:rRNA from 1 species
GACGAACGCUGGCGGCGUGCUUAACACAUGCAAGUCGAACGGAAAGGCCCCUUCGGGGGUACUCGAGUGGCGAACAGGUGAGUAACACGUGAGUAACCUGCCCUUGACUUCGGGAUAACUUCAGGAAACUGGGGCUAAUACCGGAUAGGAAUCCUUGCUGCAUGGUGGGGGUUGGAAAGCUUCGGCGGUUUUGGAUGGACUCGCGGCUUAUCAGCUUGUUGGUGGGGUAGUGGCUUACCAAGGCUUUGACGGGUAGCCGGCCUGAGAGGGCGACCGGCCACAGUGGGACUGAGAUACGGCCCAGACUCCUACGGGAGGCAGCAGUGGGGAAUAUUGCACAAUAGGCGGAAGCCUGAUGCAGCAACGCCGCGUGCGGGAUGACGGCCUUCGGGUUGGAAACCGCUUUCAGCAGGGGCGAAGCUUGUGGUGACGGUACCUGCAGAAGAAGCACCGGCUAACUACGUG